rnacentral:rRNA from 1 species
UACGUAGGGUGCAAGCGUUAAUCGGAAUUACUGGGCGUAAAGCGUGCGCAGGCGGUUAUAUAAGACAGUCGUGAAAUCCCUGGGCUCAACCUAGGAACUGCGAUUGUGACUGUAUGGCUAGAGUGUGUCAGAGGGGGGUAGAAUUCCACGUGUAGCAGUGAAAUGCGUAGAUAUGUGGAGGAAUACCGAUGGCGAAGGCACUUUACUGGGCCAGUACUGACACUCAGAGACGAAAGCUAGGGGAGCAAACAGC